GAUGAACGCUGGCGGCGUGCCUCAAACAUGCAAGUCGAGCGAGGCUAUGAAUUACCGCAAGGUAAGGCAUAGCCUAGCGGCGAACGGGUGAGUAACACGUGGGUAACCUACCUGGAAGACAGGGAUAACGAUUCGAAGGGUCGCUAAUACCUGAUAAUAUCCAUCUGCCGGAUGGCGGAGGGAAGAAAGGGGAAACCCGCUUUCAGAUGGGCCCGCGUCCCAUCAGCUAGUUGGUAAGGUAAAGGCUUACCAAGGCGACGACGGGUAGCCGGUCUGAGAGGAUGUACGGCCACACUGGGACUGAGAUACGGCCCAGACUCCUACGGGAGGCAGCAGUUGGGAAUCUUAGGCAAUGGACGAAAGUCUGACCUAGCGACGCCGCGUGAGGGAAGAAGGCCUUCGGGUUGUAAACCUCUGUCAUGGGGGAAGAAGGAAGUGACGGUACCCCAAGAGGAAGCCCCUGCUAACUACGUG
rnacentral:rRNA from 1 species